rnacentral:rRNA from 1 species
UUUAGUGGCGAACGGGUGCGUAAUACGUGAGGAUCUGCCCUUAGGAGGAGUAUAACUGUUGGAAACGACUGCUAACACUCCAUAUGUCGAGAGAUGAAAUAAUUUAUUGCCUAAGGAUGAGCUCGCGCCUGAUUAGCUAGUUGGUGAGGUAAUGGCUCACCAAGGCCACGAUCAGUAGCUGGUUUGAGAGAACUAUCAGCCACACUGGGACUGAGACACGGCCCAGACUCCUCCGGGAGGCAGCAGUGAGGAAUUUUCCGCAAUGGGCGAAAGCCUGACGGAGCAAUACCGCGUGAGGGAUGAAGGAUUUUGGUCUGUAAACCUCUUUUCUCAAGAAAGAAGUUCUGACGGUACUUGAGGAAUAAGCAUCGGCUAACUCCGUGCCAGCAGCCGCGGUAAUACGGGGGAUGCAAGCGUUAUCCGGAAUCAUUGGGCGUAAAGCGCCUGUAGGUUGUUUAAUAAGUCUGUUGUUAAAGACUAGGGCUCAACCCUAGGAAAGCAAUGGAAACUACUA